ACCCAGCGGGAUAAUGGUUCACUGCUUACAUUUUUCUUUGAAGAAUGCUUCGAAGAAAAUUUUAUGUACAAUUCUUCGAUACCAGGUAAUGCAUAAAAGUAAGCUAUGCGGAAUAAUGUUUCCCCGCUUACAUUUUUCUUUGAAGAAUGCUUCGAAGAAAAUUCUAUGUAGAAAUCAUCGAUACCAGGUAAUGCAUAAAAGUAAGCUAUGCGGAAUAAUGUUCCCCCGCUUACAUUUUUCUUUGAAGAAUACUUCGAAGAAAAUUCUAUCUAGAAUUCUUCGAUACCAGGUAAUGCAUAAAAGUAAGCUAUGCGGCUAAAUUCUACUGUGUUCAUAUUUACAAGUCAAGUAAGUACGUGAAAAACGACAAAUACAAAUUGAUGGAAUAAAAUUUAUAAGUAAAUUUUUUCAUUAUUUCGUCAAAUCAUCAAGCAAAAAGUUGGUUACUAUUUGGUAAGUAUUUCGUGUUUUUAACAUUGAAGGACAUAGCUUCAAAUUUAUAAACAUACUCUUUCAACUUUUUUGUAGAAUGUGUGAAAGUUGAAGGCUUCACCGAAUCGGAGUAUAUUCACCAAAUUCAAAAAGUUAUCAAACUCGCCAAACGCAGUUUCUUCAAGUCUCGUUGCUUGAAAAAAAACGGCAAGAGACUCAGCCACAAAAUUAGAAGAAAACCAUAAUGGCUAAAUGAGUAGCGACCAACAUCUCCGCUUUGGCAGCAUCCCGGUUCUUUCCGCUAGUUACCCGUCUGUAUAUAUGUAUAUUUAACGUUUUUAAAACUGUUUUCAACCUUUGAUCAUUUUAUAUAUACAUACAUACAUAUACAUAUAAUAUGUAUUUAACGUUUUUAAACUAUUUAAAUUUGUAAUAAUUCGGUUCAUUUAAACACAUUUUGUUAUAACAAUUUUUAAGUGCAUUUCGCAUAAAAUAAAACCUUUAUAACGAUUGUAUUGAA